rnacentral:rRNA from 1 species
CCUACGGGCGACAGCAGUGAGGAAUAUUGGUCAAUGGGCGUAAGCCUGAACCAGCCAAGUCGCGUGAGGGAUGAAGGUUCUAUGGAUCGUAAACCUCUUUUAUAAGGGGAUAAAGUGUGGGACGUGUCCUAUUUUGUAUGUACCGUAUGAAUAAGGAUCGGCUAACUCCGUGCCAGCAGCCGCGGUAAUACGGAGGAUCCGAGCGUUAUCCGGAUUUAUUGGGUUUAAAGGGUGCGUAGGCGGCCUUUUAAGUCAGCGGUGAAAGUCUGUGGCUCAACCAUGGAAUUGCCGUUGAAACUGGGGGGCUUGAGUAUGUUUGAGGCAGGCGGAAUGCGUGGUGUAGCGGUGAAAUGCUUAGAUAUCACGCAGAACCCCGAUUGCGAAGGCAGCCUGCCAAGCCAUGACUGACGCUGAUGCACGAAAGCGUGGGGAUCAAACAGGAUUAGAUACCCCUGUAGUC